rnacentral:tRNA from 1 species
GCGUUCAUAGCUCAGUUGGUUAGAGCACCACCUUGACAUGGUGGGGGUCGUUGGUUCGAGUCCAAUUGAACGCAACA